rnacentral:rRNA from 1 species
UACGUAGGGUCCGAGCGUUGUCCGGAAUUAUUGGGCGUAAAGGGCUCGUAGGCGGUUUGUCGCGUCGGGAGUGAAAACUCGGGGCUUAACUCCGAGCCUGCUUCCGAUACGGGCAGACUAGAGGUAUGCAGGGGAGAACGGAAUUCCUGGUGUAGCGGUGAAAUGCGCAGAUAUCAGGAGGAACACCGGUGGCGAAGGCGGUUCUCUGGGCAUUACCUGACGCUGAGGAGCGAAAGUGUGGGGAGCGAACAGG